GAGUUUGAUCCUGGCUCAGGAUGAACGCUAGCGACAGGCCUAACACAUGCAAGUCGAGGGGUAACAGAUGAAGAGCUUGCUCAGAUUGCUGACGACCGGCGCACGGGUGAGUAACACGUAUGCAACCUACCUUUUACAGAGGGAUAGCCCAGAGAAAUUUGGAUUAAUACCUCAUAAUAUUUUUAACUCGCAUGAGUUUUAAAUUAAAACUUCGGUGGUAAAAGAUGGGCAUGCGUUCUAUUAGUUUGUUGGUGAGGUAACGGCUUACCAAGACUACGAUAGAUAGGGGUUCUGAGAGGAUAGUCCCCCACACUGGUACUGAGACACGGACCAGACUCCUACGGGAGGCAGCAGUGAGGAAUAUUGGUCAAUGGUCGAAAGACUGAACCAGCCAUGUCGCGUGAAGGAUGACGGCCCUAUGGGUUGUAAACUUCUUUUGUAUGGGAAGAAAAGCAGUUACGUGUAACUGUCUGCCGGUACCAUACGAAUAAGGAUCGGCUAACUCCGUGCCAGCAGCCGCGGUAAUACGGAGGAUCCAAGCGUUAUCCGGAUUUAUUGGGUUUAAAGGGUGCGUAGGCGGCUCUAUAAGUCAGUAGUGAAAUCUCGAAGCUCAACUUCGAACGUGCUAUUGAAACUGUAGAGCUUGAGUACAGACGAGGCAGGCGGAAUGUGUUGUGUAGCGGUGAAAUGCUUAGAUAUAACACAGAACACCGAUAGCGAAGGCAGCUUGCCAGACUGUAACUGACGCUGAGGCACGAAAGCGUGGGGAGCGAACAGGAUUAGAUACCCUGGUAGUCCACGCCGUAAACGAUGAUUACUGGUUGUAGGCGAUACAUUGUCUGUGACUGAGCGAAAGUAUUAAGUAAUCCACCUGGGGAGUACGUCGGCAACGAUGAAACUCAAAGGAAUUGACGG
rnacentral:rRNA from 1 species